rnacentral:tRNA from 1 species
GCGGCAGUAGCUCAGUGGUAAAGCCCCCCCUUGGCAUGCGGGGAGACCUGGGUUCGAUUCCUGGCUGCUUCC